rnacentral:rRNA from 1 species
CAGUCGCCGCGGGAAUACGGAGGGUGCAAGCGUUAAUCGGAAUUACUGGGCGUAAAGCGCACGCAGGCGGUCUGACAAGUCAGAUGUGAAAUCCCCGGGCUUAACCUGGGAACUGCAUUUGAAACUGUCAGGCUGGAGUCUUGUAGAGGGGGGUGGAAUUCCAGGUGUAGCGGUGAAAUGCGUAGAGAUCUGGAGGAAUACCGGUGGCGAAGGCGGCCCCCUGGACAAAGACUGACGCUCAGGCGCGAAAGCGUGGGGAGCAAACAGGAUUAGAUACCCCGGUAGUCCCUGUCUCUUAUAC